CCCCGGGGAUAACAGGCUUAUCUCCCCCAAGAGUUCACAUCGACGGGGAGGUUUGGCACCUCGAUGUCGGCUCAUCGCAUCCUGGGGCUGUAGUCGGUCCCAAGGGUUGGGCUGUUCGCCCAUUAAAGCGGUACGCGAGCUGGGUUCAGAACGUCGUGAGACAGUUCGGUCCCUAUCCGUCGUGGGCGUAGGAAAUUUGAGAGGAGCUGUCCUUAGUACGAGAGGACCGGGAUGGACAUACCUCUGGUGUACCAGUUGUCGUGCCAACGGCAUAGCUGGGUAGCUAUGUAUGGACGGGAUAAGUGCUGAAAGCAUCUAAGCAUGAAGCCCCCCUCAAGAUGAGAUUUCCCAACUUCGGUUAUAAGAUCCCUCGAAGAUGACGAGGUUAAUAGGUUCGAGGUGGAAGCGUGGUGACACGUGGAGCUGACGAAUACUAAUCGAUCGAAGACUUAAUCAAUUUUUAAA
rnacentral:rRNA from 1 species